UACGGAGGGGGCUAGCGUUGUUCGGAAUUACUGGGCGUAAAGCGCACGUAGGCGGCUUGGUAAGUCCGCUCUGAAAGUCCAGGGCUCAACCCUGGGAUGCGGGUGGAUACUGCCGGGCUCGAGUCCGGAAGAGGCGAGUGGAAUUCCCGGUGUAGCGGUGAAAUGCGCAGAUAUCGGGAGGAACACCAAUGGCGAAGGCAGCUCGCUGGGACGUGACUGACGCUGAGACGCGAAAGCGUGGGGAGCAAACAGG
rnacentral:rRNA from 1 species